UUCCACCAGUAGCAAUUCGGGAUUGUCGGCUGGCGGGACACGUGUCGUCCGACGGCUUUCCUUGUGCUCUCUUGGCGCCACGUGGUGGGAAAGCGGCACCCCCCACCCUAAACCCUCUCUGCAAAGUGCAAACCCUAGCAUGCUCACCACCGUCGGCGAUGGCGAUCUAUCGGUCACUGAGAGCCCUGAUCAGUAAACGCCCUAAGAACUCGCAGUCCUUCCUCCCCUCGACGACGUCGUCGACGUUCGCGAUCCAGUGCCCGUACAAUCCUCUCUGCUCCAACCCCUUCUUCCUCCAUUCGAGCUCCAACCGGUUCCUCUCUCCCCUGUCCAAAUGGAUCUCUCCGUUUCAAGGUCCGCUCUUCCUCUCCCCAACUCCCUGGAAGCUCUCGCAGUCGGCCACGCCUCUGUACCUCCGGAGCGGCGUCGUUCUGAGGAGUGUGGAAGAGUUGAACCUGAACCUGAGAUUGCUCCGGAGCAGGUCUAGGGCUACCUCUCCGGCUGCUCUUGGGGUCGGGGCUUUGGCCCCGGGACCGGCUUUGCAGGAUCGGGUCGAGUCGAAGGUUCCGAGUGAGGGCCUCGUUGAAAGCUUUGUGAACAUUCCGAAUAUGAUCUCGAUGAGCCGGCUGGUUUCUGGUCCUUUCCUAGGAUGGAUGAUUGUCAAUCAGUGGUACUCGGCUGCACUUGUGGGAUUGGCGGUUUCCGGUGCAACAGACUGGUUAGACGGAUACGUGGCCAGGAAGAUGAAUAUAAACUCAGUUGUUGGCUCGUACCUGGACCCCCUUGCUGACAAGGUUCUUAUAGGAUGUGUUGCAUUGGCGAUGGUACAACAGGAUCUUUUGCCGACUGAACUUGUUGGGAUUAUCUUGUUGAGGGAUAUUCUGCUUGUAGGCGGGGCAGUGUAUAAGAGGGCCAGCGACUUGGAUUGGCAGUGGGGAAGCUGGUAUGACUUUUUCAAUCUCAACGGGACACACCCAGAAAAGGUCGAGCCGCUCUUUCUCAGCAAGGUGAAUACAGUUCUGCAGUUGGUCCUAGUUGCUGCCGCCCUUCUACAGCCCGAGUUUGGAACCCAAGAAACUCAGACAUGCAUCACAUACCUGAGUUGGUUGGUGGCUUCAACUACAGUUUGCUCUACAGCUGCAUAUGGUGUACAGCACAUGAUAAAGAGAUCUCUAUCAAUAAGGUGAUAGGGCCCCUCUUCCGGUUCCAUGCUUUACAUCUUUCAUAUGCUGAGACAGCCCGGUCACCUAAUAUUUCCUUCGAUGGCUGUGAGUACCGCCCUCUCCAUCGUAAUCGACAGGGGGGCAUCUCUGCUGCAAAAGGUUAGAAAUUGUUUUGGUUAAGGGAGUAGUGAUUCUCAUGGUGAAUUGUGGUGGCGCCGCCUUGACCAUUUAAAAAGGACGACUCCGUUGCUUUCACUUCAGCAUGACUCUUUGCUCCUCCUCUGGUGAUUAGCUAAAUUUUUAGUUGGGCUGACUGCUGAGAGAACAUCGUUUUCAUAGGUGUGGUGGUAUGUUGCUUCUGGAAUUCACUUAAAUUGCGAAUAAUUAGUACCGGGGCGAUUAUGUGCCGAUUUUUUGUUUUUGAUCUAUUGGUCCCGAGACGGUGCAAAUUCUUUUCCGUCACAUUUUGCAUGAAAAAGUUUGCUA